rnacentral:piRNA from 1 species
UUCAUGCCACCUGGAAAGGGUUUCUCCUUC